AAUCUCUCAAGGACUCCUGAUCCUAUCCACCCUUUGGGAUGGGAAAAAUGGCCUUCUGGAAGGAACCUGCAUGGAGCAGAGAGAGAGCUAAAACCUGAGCACGCACCUCGUUUCGCUGUGAUUGGUGAGGGUGUCAUUGAGCGUGUCCAUCACUGCACAGCAGUUUGGCUGCAAAUAACAAAGAAGGAAGGAGAGAUCCUGGGUGAACCAGCAGAGCCCUCCCACAGCAGGAAGGUGAUCAGCAAAGUGUCCUCUCGUGGUCCAGGAUUCCAGAGCUCGUGACUGCAAGCAUCCAGACAAUAAAAAGAGGAAGCAGCAGCAGUAAUGAUCCCUCUGUGCUGGCAUGGGCAGGAAUAAAAGGAACAUAAUUAAUAUGAUGUGCAGCUCAGAUGAAUACGAGCCAGAGGAGAUUAAAGAAAGCAGGUGACCCUUAAGUGUUUAUCACUCCCAGAGAAAACAGCACAGAUGGCUGACUUUGAGGGAGCUUUAAACGCCAGCUCACCUAAGAGAGAGUUUUGGGGUGCUGCCUCCAGCCCAGCUCUGUGCCCUGUCCCCAUGUCACUGUCACACUGAAGGCACCGGUGGGGACAGCAGAGGAGCAGCUGCAGAGCCAGCCCUUGGGAUGAUGGGCUCCUUCCAGCUCCAUCUGGCACAUCCACCAGCCUUUGAGGUGUGCCUGGUGAGGGGACUGGGGGUGCUGGAAGGAGAACAGCUGUAUCCCUGGGAAGGGCAGCGUGGUGUUUCUGGCUCUGAAUGGACUCCAGGUCUGAUUGUCCUCCUCCUGAUUGUCCUGCUGCUCCCCAGAUGGGCUGCAAGGCACAAGGUGGGGCAGGACAUGUGCAUUUUAGUGAUGGCAUUCAGAGCUGGAGGAAGAUUGGAAAAGAAAACCAAUCCCAUCAGGAAAAAGGUUUGGAAAAAGCAUUUCUCAGCAGCUGCAGCUUGUGUAAACCAGUCUGGUGCUUCUUUAUUUACACCAGCUGGGGAUCUGCUCCGGGAGCCUGGAAGGAGUCUCCCUCCUUCCAGUGGAGCAGCAUCCUUUCUUCUGCUUGUAUUUCCAUCCAGAGUGCAGACAUGGUCAGUUCUCUGCCCUGACAAGAUGUUAAGGGGACAGUAGUGUUUCCAUAGGUUGUGGGGGGCAGGAAAAGCCCCUUUCCUGACUCCUGAGCUGUCCCUUGGCCUUCCUUUGGAUUCUUGCACACCUGAUGCUUCCCACAGUAACUCUGAGGAGUGGAAGGAGGGGAAGCUCUUGCUCUGUGACA